rnacentral:rRNA from 1 species
ACUCCUACGGGAGGCAGCAGUGGGGAAUAUUGCACAAUGGGCGCAAGCCUGAUGCAGCCAUGCCGCGUGUGUGAAGAAGGCCUUCGGGUUGUAAAGCACUUUCAGUUGUGAGGAAGGUUGUGUGGUUAAUACCCACAUAAUUUGACUUUAGCAACAGAAGAAGCACCGGCUAACUCCGUGCCAGCAGCCGCGGUAAUACGGAGGGUGCGAGCGUUAAUCGGAAUUACUGGGCGUAAAGCGUACGCAGGCGGCUAAUUAAGCCAGAUGUGAAAUCCCGCUAGCUAGGCAUGGAUUGGAUGACUGGUUAGCUAGAGUUUUGUAGAGGGUGGUAGAAUUUCAGGUGUAGCGGUGAAAUGCGUAGAGAUCUGAAGGAAUACCAGUGGCGAAGGCGGCCACCUGGACAAGAACUGACGCUCAUGUACGAAAGCGUGGGGAGCAAAACAGGGAUUAGAUACCCUGGUAGAC